ensembl:scaRNA
GUGGCUGCCUUCCCUGCUGCUGCAGUGUGAGAGCUGCACUGCAGCCAGAGGCAGCCACGGACAGCAACACGAGUGGUUCCUGCCGACAGCGUCUGCAGAGAGAUGGGAUUGUUCUGUGCGAUGGUUCCACACACU